AUGGACUUCUGUAGCCUGGCCAACCACAAGGAGUUCGUUACAGUGGAACAUCUCAUCUUCUGUUGGAGAAAGGUGGCUGCUGAAGCUCCUGUAAUGUCUGCUGGGAUAGCCAUGUUUACCACCCUCAACCUCAGGCUGUUCCCCAUUGAGAGCUUCAUGCCCAACAAGGGUGCAGCACACCGAAUCCCCCCUGAAUCAGGAGCUCAUGUAAACAACCUGCGGGCAGCACCUCCCCUCCCCAGACUGUACCCGGUUACUAAGAUCUCAUACUGCUCCCAUAAAGAACACCUCCAGAUUUCUCCAGAAGUCCUUUUUAUUUCUUUUACAGGGACAUCUGUAAACUCAGCUGUGUUGGAUUGCGACCUGGCCUUUAUCAGAAAAUUGGGGUGUGCAGUUAAGCCAUCUAUAUACAGGUAUGUAUCUGGAUCUGUUGCAGUGAUUGAUAUUAUUUGUAUCUAAAUUC
ensembl:lncRNA